AGUCAGCCUGUCUUUGAAACUUUGAAGUCAGGCAUUGACUUCUCUCUAGCCAUGAAAGUCCUU
rnacentral:miRNA from 1 species